rnacentral:rRNA from 1 species
GCAACUCGCCUACAUGAAGUCGGAAUUGCUAGUAAUCGCGGAUCAGCAUGCCGCGGUGAAUACGUUCCCGGGCCUUGUACACACCGCCCGUCACACCAUGGAAGUUGGUAACACCCGAAGCCUGUAGCCUAACCGCAAGGAGGGCGCAGUCGAAGGUGGGAUUGAUGACUGGGGUGAAGUCGUAACAAGGUAAC